rnacentral:sRNA from 1 species
AGGGAUGUUACUGUGUACACACGCAUGUGUGCACAUAGAGGUCCCUGCCAGUACGCUUGUGAGUAUGAGCUGUCAGAAAUGACAUGGCCAGGUGAUGGAAGUUGGAUAAUGAAAACAUGAAGGUCUUAGGGAAAGGUACAUAGACUCUGGCCAGCAGAAGGACUGAAGCCAGGGAAUCGAUUCCCAUUAUCUCACUGAGCAAACACACUCUAAAUGGAAUCACAGUGGUGCACCCUGGAUGCCUGGCAGAAAGGAGAGGCAGGGGGAAAGAGCCUAGAGAGUGGGCCGAGGAAAGGCCACUACACCUGCAGUUUAUGAAAAGUAGAAAAUGUACCUAAUGACCUGGAAGGAGAAACUGUAUCUUAUUUAUUGAGAUAUCUAGCCAAGGAGAAUUCCAGCCAAACAGCCAAAAGUGCUUCCU